GAUGAACGCUGGCGGCGUGCCUAAUACAUGCAAGUCGAGCGAACAGACAAGGAGCUUGCUCCUUUGACGUUAGCGGCGGACGGGUGAGUAACACGUGGGUAACCUACCUAUAAGACUGGGAUAACUUCGGGAAACCGGAGCUAAUACCGGAUAAUAUUUCGAACCGCAUGGUUCGAUAGUGAAAGAUGGUUUUGCUAUCACUUAUAGAUGGACCCGCGCCGUAUUAGCUAGUUGGUAAGGUAACGGCUUACCAAGGCGACGAUACGUAGCCGACCUGAGAGGGUGAUCGGCCACACUGGAACUGAGACACGGUCCAGACUCCUACGGGAGGCAGCAGUAGGGAAUCUUCCGCAAUGGGCGAAAGCCUGACGGAGCAACGCCGCGUGAGUGAUGAAGGUCUUCGGAUCGUAAAACUCUGUUAUUAGGGAAGAACAUACGUGUAAGUAACUAUGCACGUCUUGACGGUACCUAAUCAGAAAGCCACGGCUAACUACGUGCCAGCAGCCGCGGUAAUACGUAGGUGGCAAGCGUUAUCCGGAAUUAUUGGGCGUAAAGCGCGCGUAGGCGGUUUUUUAAGUCUGAUGUGAAAGCCCACGGCUCAACCGUGGAGGGUCAUUGGAAACUGUAAAACUUGAGUGCAGAAGAGGAAAGUGGAAUUCCAUGUGUAGCGGUGAAAUGCGCAGAGAUAUGGAGGAACACCAGUGGCGAAGGCGACUUUCUGGUCUGUAACUGACGCUGAUGUGCGAAAGCGUGGGGAUCAAACAGGAUUAGAUACCCUGGUAGUCCACGCCGUAAACGAUGUGUGCUAAGUGUUAGGGGGUUUCCGCCCCUUAGUGCUGCAGCUAACGCAUUAAGCACUCCGCCUGGGGAGUACGACCGCAAGGUUGAAACUCAAAGGAAUUGACGGGGACCCGCACAAGCGGUGGAGCAUGUGGUUUAAUUCGAAGCAACGCGAAGAACCUUACCAAAUCUUGACAUCCUUUGACAACUCUAGAGAUAGAGCCUUCCCCUUCGGGGGACAAAGUGACAGGUGGUGCAUGGUUGUCGUCAGCUCGUGUCGUGAGAUGUUGGGUUAAGUCCCGCAACGAGCGCAACCCUUAAGCUUAGUUGCCAUCAUUAAGUUGGGCACUCUAAGUUGACUGCCGGUGACAAACCGGAGGAAGGUGGGGAUGACGUCAAAUCAUCAUGCCCCUUAUGAUUUGGGCUACACACGUGCUACAAUGGACAAUACAAAGGGCAGCGAAACCGCGAGGUCAAGCAAAUCCCAUAAAGUUGUUCUCAGUUCGGAUUGUAGUCUGCAACUCGACUACAUGAAGCUGGAAUCGCUAGUAAUCGUAGAUCAGCAUGCUACGGUGAAUACGUUCCCGGGUCU
rnacentral:rRNA from 1 species